GACGAACCGUCCAAACGUUAUUCGGAAUCACUGGGCUUAAAGGGUGCGUAGGCGGAGAGGCAAGUCAGAGGUGAAAGCCCACGGCUCAACCGUGGAAGUGCCCCUGAAACGGCCUCUCUCGAGGGAGAUAGGGGCGUGCGGAACUCAGAGUGGAGCGGUGAAAUGCGUAGAGAUUCUGAGGAACACCGGUGGCGAAAGCGGCACGCUGGGUCUUUGCUGACGAUGAGGCACGAAAGCUAGGGGAGCAAACGGG
rnacentral:rRNA from 1 species